AAACUCAAAUGAAUUGACGGGGACCCGCACAAGCGGUGGAUUAUGUGGAUUAAUUCGAUGCAACGCGAAAACCUUACCUACCCUUGACAUGCCAGGAAUCCCGAAGAGAUUUGGGAGUGCCCGAAAGGGAAUCUGGACACAGGUGCUGCAUGGCUGUCGUCAGCUCGUGUCGUGAGAUGUUGGGUUAAGUCCCGCAACGAGCGCAACCCUUGCCAUUAAUUGCCAUCAUUCAGUUGGGCACUUUAAUGGGACUGCCGGUGAUAAACCGGAGGAAGGUAGGGGAUGACGUCAAGUCCUCAUGGCCCUUAUGGGUAGGGCUUCACACGUAAUACAAUGGUCGGUACAGAGGGUCGCCAACCCGCGAGGGGAGCCAAUCCCAGAAAGCCGAUCGUAGUCCGGAUUGUUCUCUGCAACUCGAGAGCAUGAAGUCGGAAUCGCUAGUAAUCGCGGAUCAGCAUGUCGCGGGUGAAUACGUUCCCGGGU
rnacentral:rRNA from 1 species